AUUGAACGCUGGCGGGAGGCCUAACACAUGCAAGUCGAACGAGUGGCGGACGGGUGAGUAAUGUAUGGGAACCUGCCCGAUGGAGGGGGAUAACUACUGGAAACGGUAGCUAAUACCGCAUACCAUCGGAUGUGCCGAGAUGGGAUUAGCUAGUAGGUGGGGUAACGGCUCACCUAGGCGACGAUCCCUAGCUGGUCUGAGAGGAUGACCAGCCACACUGGAACUGAGACACGGUCCAGACUCCUACGGGAGGCAGCAGUGGGGAAUUUUGGACAAUGGGCGCAAGCCUGAUGCAGCCAUGCCGCGUGUAUGAAGAAGGCCUUCGGGUUGUAAAGUACUUUCGGCGGGGAGGCGUUACUCGCAGAAUAAGCACCGGCUAACUCCGUGCCAGCAGCCGCGGUAAUUC
rnacentral:rRNA from 1 species